GCCAAGUAGGGAAGGGGGGGCGUCCGGAAGGGCUGCUGCAGCGCCAAGCAAAGCCAGCCGCCCGAUUCGCCCAGCCCCGGCAGAAGCACAAAUCAACCACCCCCUCUCCAGAGCGAUGGCAGUCAAGUGAGGCCCCCAAAGGCUCACCAAGUCGAGUGGAAGGGGUCGAAAGGCAUCGCAACCGCCGAGAAUCGCUGGAAAAUGCCACCGUCAUCAGUGCGGCGCCGCCAUCUUCAUCGCCGAACAGCAUAGGCUGUUGCUCAGAGCCUGUAGAUCCCAUCCUCGUCACCAGUGUCUCCCAUCCCUUCCCUGAAGGGAUGAGGCAGGAGGCGUCUGAGUAGGAACUGUUCCAAUGAACUUGAGAAGACAGAAGUUGACAACAGAGCUAGUGGCAAUUCCAUAUAAUUAACUUUUUAAGAACUGGCUACCAUCAUCAAGUUUCACUCUCCAGAAUCAAGCUAGUUUUAUCCAAUUAUCUUAAAGGAACUUGCCAGUAACAUCUCUGAACUCCUUCCCUAUGAGAAAUCAUGAAGGAUGGGUACAAUGCCAGAGAACUGAAGAAGCCCCCCCACCCAAAAAAGGAACCAAAGUACGUGCAAACUAGUUACAUGUUAUAUGUUGUUGUUGAAGACAGAACUUUGGAACAUGAGUAUUUAGAAAAGAAUGUAUUGCUUCGCAGAAAAUAGUAUAGGUUUAUCAAGA